GACGAACGCUGGCGGCGUGCUUAACACAUGCAAGUCGAACGGGCCCGCUCUCUUUUUUGGGGGUGGGUUGAGUGGCGAACGGGUGAGUAUCACGUGAGUAACCUGCCCCCUGCUCCUGGAUAACUGCUUGAAAGGGCGGCUAAUACGGGGUGUGCCGGCUGGUCCGCAUGGGCCUGGUCGGGAUAGUUUCAUCUUCGGGUGUUUCGGUGGGGGAUGGGCUCGCGGCCUAUCAGCUUGUUGGUGGGGUGAUGGCCCACCAAGGCGGUGACGGGUAGCCGGCCUGAGAGGGUGGGCGGCCACACUGGGACUGAGACACGGCCCAGACUCCUGCGGGAGGCAGCAGUGGGGGGUAUUGCACAAUGGGCGGAAGACUGAGGCAGCGACGUCGCGUGAGGGAUGGAGGCCGUCGGGUGGUGAACCUCUUUCUCCGGUGGUGAAGGCCCUGUCCGUUGCGGCGGGGUUGACGGUAGCCGGGUAUGAAGCGCCGGCUAACUACGUG
rnacentral:rRNA from 1 species